CUGCACAGCAGUUAGUCACGGCUCCUCCCUGCUCAGAGCCAGCGUGCUUUUCUUUUAAGGCCUCGGUCUGCAUGGAGAGAGAAACAGGAGAUGUAAGCGGUUGAGCAGGAAGAUUUGCUGUAUUAUUGUGUUGAAGAAUAUCCUGGCUGUUUUUUUUUUUUUUUACAUAGUUGCAGAACCUGCUGUUACAGCUGAGCGGUUCAUUGUAUGGACUGGACUAGACUCCACCAGAGAUGUUGAUGCAGGAUGUUCCCAAUGUCAAUGCCAUCCGGUUCCCUGGAGGGUGGUAGGAAAAACAAGGAAACUUAAGGAUUUUUCUUCCCUUUCUUUCUGCGGAUUCAUAAUUUUUUUCUUUUCUGAGAUCUCGGACAAUUUUUGUUGUUACUUUGUUUAAUUUUUUUGAUCAGAUCUGAUAAAACCACUUGAUGCAUCAGAUUU